rnacentral:rRNA from 1 species
GGGCCCGCACAAGCAGUGGAGCAUGUGGUUUAAUUCGAUGCAACGCGAAGAACCUUACCAGGCCUUGACAUCCUCGGAACUUUCUAGAGAUAGAUUGGUGCCUUCGGGAACCGAGUGACAGGUGCUGCAUGGCUGUCGUCAGCUCGUGUCGUGAGAUGUUGGGUUAAGUCCCGUAACGAGCGCAACCCUUGUCCUUAGUUGCCAGCACAUUAUGGUGGGAACUCUAUGGAAACUGCCCGUGAUAAGCGGGAGGAAGGUGUGGAUGACGUCAAGUCCUCAUGGCCCUUACGGGUUGGGCUACACACGUGCUACAAUGGUAGUGACAAUGGGU